rnacentral:rRNA from 1 species
CCGAGUUUACAACUCCCAAACCCAAUGUGAACGUUACCAAACUGUUGCCUCGGCGGGAUCUCUGCCCCGGGUGCGUCGCAGCCCCGGACCAAGGCGCCCGCCGGAGGACCAACCAAAACUCUUAUUGUAUACCCCCUCGCGGGUUUUUUUUUAUAAUCUGAGCCUUCUCGGCGCCUCUCGUAGGCGUUUCGAAAAUGAAUCAAAACUUUCAACAACGGAUCUCUUGGUUCUGGCAUCGAUGAAGAACGCAGCGAAAUGCGAUAAGUAAUGUGAAUUGCAGAAUUCAGUGAAUCAUCGAAUCUUUGAACGCACAUUGGGCCCGCCAGUAUUCUGGCGGGCAUGCCUGUCCGAGCGUCAUUUCAACCCUCGAACCCCUCCGGGGGGUCGGCGUUGGGGAUCGGCCCUCCCUUAGCGGGGUGGCCGUCUCCGAAAUACAGUGGCGGUCUCGCCGCAGCCUCUCCUGCGCAGUAGUUUGCACACUCGCAUCGGGAGCGCGGCGCGUCCACAGCCGUUAAACACCCAACUUCUGAAAUGUUGACCUCGGAUCAGGUAGGAAUACCCGCUGAACUUAAGCAUAUCAA